rnacentral:rRNA from 1 species
GAUGAACGCUGGCGGCGUGCUUAACACAUGCAAGUCGAGCGGGCAAUUUAUCUAGCACUGAUUACUUCGAAUGGCUAUCGCCAGUGUAAUCAUGAAUUUCUACCUUUAAUAAAGAAAAAGAAAUUCAUGUACGCAAAUAGUGAUAACACAUGAAAGUGGAGUGAUGAGUGCUGGAUAAAUUGCUAGCGGCGGACGGGUGCGUAACACGUGGGUAACCUGCCCCUAUCACUGGGAUAACACACUGAAAAGUGUGCUAAUACCAGAUAAUAUAAGCUUUUGGUCAUCAUUAGCUUAUCAAAGAAUUUCGGAUAGGGAUGGGCCCGCGUCUGAUUAGCUAGUUGGUGAGGUAACGGCUCACCAAGGCAACGAAUCAGUAGCCGACCUGAGAGGGUGAUCGGCCACACUGGAACUGAGACACGGUCCAGACUCCUACGGGAGGCAGCAGUGGGGAAUAUUGCACAAU